GAUGAACGCUGGCGGCGUGCUUAACACAUGCAAGUCGAACGGAAAGGCCCAGGCUUGCUUGGGUACUCGAGUGGCGAACGGGUGAGUAACACGUGGGCGAUCUGCUCUGCACUUUGGGAUAAGCCUGGGAAACUGGGUUUAAUACCGGAUAGGACCACUCCUUGGAUGUUGUGGUGGAAAGCUUUUGCGGUGUGGGAUCAGGUGGCGGCGUAUCAGCUUGUUGGAGGGGUCGUGGCCUAGCCCGGCGUAGACGAGUAGCCGGCACAAGAGCGUGUAGGGACAGACUAGACUUGAAAGACGGGCAGGACUCGGGCGGAUGGCAGCAGUGGCGAAUAUCGGACAAUGCGAGACAGCGUGAGGGAGCGAGGCCGCGUGGGGGAUGAGCGCCUUUGGUUUGUAAAAAACUCACGCGAGGGACAAAGCGUUGUUGUGACGGUACCUAAAGAAGAAGCACCGGCUAACUACGUG
rnacentral:rRNA from 1 species